rnacentral:rRNA from 1 species
AUAGAGACUUUUGCCCAAUGGACCAAAGUCCCCCCUGGCGGUGGCAAUACGCGGAUGCUGCAUGUGAUGAAGUUGCCUUUCUGGUCGUAAACCUCUGUUGUUAGGGAAGAACAAGUGCUAGUUGAAUAAGCUGGCACCUUGACGGUACCUAACCAGAAAGCCACGGCUAACUACGUGCCAGCAGCCGCGGUAAUACGUAGGUGGCAAGCGUUAUCCGGAAUUAUUGGGCGUAAAGCGCGCGCAGGUGGUUUCUUAAGUCUGAUGUGAAAGCCCACGGCUCAACCGUGGAGGGUCAUUGGAAACUGGGAGACUUGAGUGCAGAAGAGGAAAGUGGAAUUCCAUGUGUAGCGGUGAAAUGCGUAGAGAUAUGGAGGAACACCAGUGGCGAAGGCGACUUUCUGGUCUGUAACUGACACUGAGGCGCGAAAGCGUGGGGAGCAAACAGGAUUAGAUACCCUGGUAGUCCACGCCGUAAACGAUGAGUGCUAAGUGUUAGAGGGUUUCCGCCCUUUAGAUGCUGAUCAGUCACGCGGCGUUGCU